CAAGCAAGGAGACCCGCUGAAUUUAAGCAUAUAAUUAAGCGGAGGAAAAGAAACUAACCAGGAUUGCCUCAGUAAGGGCGACUGAAGUGGCAAUAGCUCAUGAUGUGAAUCUGCGUAAGCCGAAUUGUGGUCUCACUUGUGUUAAGGGCUGGGCCAAGUCCGUUGGAACACGGCAGCAGAGAGGGUGAGACUCCCGUUUGCCUGGCCCAUGGAACAAGUGUUGUUGAGUCGAGUUGUUUGGGAUUGCAGCUCUAAGUGGGUGGUAAAUUCCAUCGAAAGCUAAAUACUGGUGGGAGACCGAUAGCGUACAAGUACCGUGAGG
rnacentral:rRNA from 1 species